rnacentral:rRNA from 1 species
CCUACGGGAGGCAGCAGUAGGGAAUAUUGCUCAAUGGGGGAAACCCUGAAGCAGCAACGCCGCGUGGAGGAUGAAGGUUUUCGGAUUGUAAACUCCUUUUGUUAGAGAAGAUAAUGACGGUAUCUAACGAAUAAGCACCGGCUAACUCCGUGCCAGCAGCCGCGGUAAUACGGAGGGUGCAAGGGUUACUCGGAAUCACUGGGCGUAAAGGGCGCGGAUGCGGGGUAGCAAGUCAGAUGUGAAAUCCUAUGGCUUAAACAUGGAACUGCAUUUGGAACUGGUCUUAUAGAGUAUGGGGGAGGUAGGUGGAAUGCUGGGUGUAGGGGUGAAAUCCGUAGAGAUCGAGAGGAAUACUCAGUGCGAAGGCGACCUGCUAGAACAUAACUGACGCUGAGGCGCGAAAGCGUGGGGAGCAAACAGGAUUAGAUACCCGGGUAGUC